rnacentral:rRNA from 1 species
UACAGAGGGUGCGAGCGUUAAUCGGAAUUACUGGGCGUAAAGCGUGCGUAGACGGUUAUUUAAGUCGGGGGUGAAAGCCCCGGGCUCAACCUGGGAAUUGCAUUCGAGACUGAAUAGCUAGGGUACGGUAGAGGGAAGUGGAAUUUCCGGUGUAGCGGUGAAAUGCGUAGAUAUCGGAAGGAACAUCAGUGGCGAAAGCGACUUCCUGGGACGGUACUGACGCUGAGACGCGAAAGCGUGGGGAGCGAACAGG